rnacentral:rRNA from 1 species
UCAGAGGGGAAUAACCCGGCGAAAGUACGGACUAAUACCGCAUAAAACAGGGGCACGCAUGUGAUAUUUGUUAAGAAAUUCGCUGAUAGAUGGGCAUGCGUUCCAUUAGGUAGUUGGUGAGGUAACGGCUCACCAAGCCGACGAUGGAUAGGGGAACUGAGACGGUUGGUCCCCCACACUGGUACUGAGACACGGACCAGACUCCUACGGGAGGCAGCAGUGAGGAAUAUUGGUCAAUGGGCGGGAGCCUGAACCAGCCAAGUCGCGUGAAGGGAAAAGAAGGAUCUAUGGUUCGUAAACUUCUUUUGCAGGGGGAAUAAAGUGCAGGACGUGUCCUGUUUUGUAUGUACCCUGAGAAUAAGGAUCGGCUAACUCCGUGCCAGCAGCUGC